GGGGAUUUUGAUGGUGAUGGAGCUUUGAAUCAGAUGGAAUUUUGUGUUUUGAUGUUCAGAUUAAGUCCUGAGUUGAUGGAGCAAUCUCAGUUUUUGUUAGAUGAAGCUCUUCAUCAAGAAUUCAACUUUUCAUUGUAAUUUUCCUUGUACUUCCUCUAGUAUAAAAGAUUGUGACUUUUUAGCUUUUGUUAUACUUGCACAUUGAAGAUAUAUAUACAGAUGACACUUGUUAGUUGUUUGCUU
rnacentral:misc_RNA from 1 species